ensembl:lncRNA
GUGGUUGUCAAGGCUGUCGCUGGCCCCUGAAACGUUGGGUUGUGGAUCUGUCAGUAUGCUGUCGGUUUGCUGUCAUGCCGAAAAGAGAGUCAGUCUUCUUUAAAGACCUCCAGAAAGACUUUCUCUUUUCUUCGCGGUUUGCUUUUAGCGAAACCAAGAAAAACUGGGCUGAAGGCAGUGUGAUGGGUCCACCCAUGUCGCCAUGGUGACGGGAACGAAGAGGGGAGCCAGGAUCCAACAGGGGAUGCCACGGAAUGUGAGGCCUCCGCAGCCUCCGGGAUCGGCCCGGAGGCUAAUGAAGCCCCCAGCCUCUAUCCCCCAGCAUGCCGAGCGGCUCUGGUGACAGCCGUCCUCCAGAGAGGGGCUAACACACAGAGACAUCCCAGCAAUCACUGGACAGACUCACGGCAUUCCUGCCUCUCCGCUCUCAUGUCAUCGCAUUACCUAAACUUCCCAGAACGCUCCCGGAGCCUCCACCGACCCGGGACCCACGGCCUCCCCCCCUCCUCCCCCGCACAGUGACGGAUUGCACGGACAGACGUUGUGCCUCCGGGGAAUCUGGGAAAUCAUCCCUCCUGAAACCCCACACUGAUUGGUCGUUACAACGUGUGGAAGGGAGGGGAAGGGGGGGGGUGGCGUUGUGUCCACGCGGGCGGCAGCAGCACGCUGCGACGUGAUG